UACGUAGGCAGCAAGCGUUGUUCGGAUUUACUGGGCGUAAAGAGUGCGUAGGCGGUUCCGUAAGUUUGGUGUGAAAUCUCCCGGCUCAACUGGGAGGGUGCGCCGAAGACUGCGGUGCUUGAGUGUGGGAAAGGUAGGCGGAAUUCCUGGUGUAGCGGUGAAAUGCGCAGAUAUCAGGAGGAACACCGGUGGCGAAGGCGGGUCUCUGGGCCGAUACUGACGCUGAGGAGCGAAAGCGUGGGGAGCGAACAGG
rnacentral:rRNA from 1 species